GACGGAGUGGGUGCCUGGUUUUUAUCUGUGGCAGUGUCUGUUUGCAUUCAGAUCUUUCUUUUCACACACACCGUGUGGUAGACGAGAUCGUAAUCCUGGUCUGGUGUUGUGUUUGGAUGUAACCACCGCUGGCCAGCCUCCAGGCUCCCGUACCCAU
rnacentral:snoRNA from 1 species